rnacentral:rRNA from 1 species
AUACGGAGGAUGCGAGCGUUAUCCGGAUUUAUUGGGUUUAAAGGGAGCGUAGGUGGGAUAUUAAGUCAGCUGUGAAAGUUUGGGGCUCAACCUUAUAAUUGCAGUUGAUACUGGUUUCCUUGAGUACGGUAUAGGUGGGCGGAAUUCGUGGUGUAGCGGUGAAAUGCUUAGAUAUCACGAAGAACUCCGAUAGCGAAGGCAGCUCACCGGGCCGGAACUGACACUGAUGCUCGAAAGUGCGGGUAUCAAACAGGAUUAGAUACCCUGGUAGUCCGCACAGUAAACGAUGAAUACUCGCUGUUUGCGAUACACUGUAAGCGGCCAAGCGAAAGCGUUAAGUAUUCCACCUGGGGAGUACGCCGGCAACGGUGAAACUCAAAUGAAUUGACGGGG